AUUGAACGCUGGCGGCAGGCCUAACACAUGCAAGUCGAACGAGUGGCGGACGGGUGAGUAAUGUCUGGGAAACUGCCUGAUGGAGGGGGUUAACUACUGGAAACGGUAGCUAAUACCGCAUACCAUCGGAUGUGCCCAGAGGGGAUUAGCCAGUAGGUGGGGUAAAGGCUCACCUAGACGACGAUCCCUAGCUGGUCUGAGAGGAUGAUCAGCCACACUGGAACUGAGGCACGGUCCAGACUCCUACGGUAGGCAGCAGUGGGGAAUAUUGCACAAUGGGAGCAAGACUGAUGCAGCCAUGCCGCGUGGAUGAGGAAGGCCUUCGGGUUUUAAAGUCCUUUCAGCGGGGAGGCGUUAACCGCAGAAGAAGCACCGGCUAACUCCGGGCCAGCAGCCGCGGUAAUAC
rnacentral:rRNA from 1 species